UACCCACUUGACAAUCACUUCUUCCUCUGUGUCCAUGUCUGUAAGAGAGAUGAUAUAGAAUCAUGAUCAAGAGGAGUCAAGCAAUCAGGGAUUCAAUUCUCUGUCACUGUGACUCCACCACUCUCUAUAUGACCUUGAGCAAGUCACUUAGGCUUCUUAAGCUUCGUAUUUCUUAUGUGUAGAAAAGAAUGAUACCCUCCUUUUAGGCCCAGAUUUUUGUGAAAAUUAAACAAGAUGAUCUAUAUAAAUCAUGUAGUAAAGUGUCCAGCAUGCAGUAAAUUUUGAUAAACUGUAGGUAUUAUAUCAGCAGGGCCUGGGCUGACAAGGAGUUUUUGUUUUAUUCUUAGGUGGUGUUUCUCUGAGAUGAAAUACAUAAAACCUUUUAUUUCAGGUAAGUGCUCAGCUCAUAUCUGCUGAGAUAUAAAAAAUUCAGCAGUCAAUGGUAAUUUUUAUGUAGUAUUACACUGUACCAUGUUCAACCCCCAAAGCCAGGAAAUUGACAACUUGUACCCUCAGAGCAUUCAUAGGAUUGAACUGAAGCUCACCAAAAAACUCCCUACAAUUUUGGAUUUCCAAGCAACUUAGUGUAGGACACAAACUUGACUUCCUUCUGACCUGGCUUGAAACAAUUUUUGCUGCAAAGGUGAGAGGAAAAAAAUUAUAAAGUUGAACUUUAAAUUACUAUAGAAAGUCUUUGGUUAUAACCACUGACUAUUAAUUCAUGUUUGAGAGUAAUGUUUCAGUGUUCUCUUUAGAGGGAAAUGAGAGGGAUGUUCUACCUAAAGACUUGAGGCAGACAGGUGAGUGCUUUAAUUUCGAUGGUAUCGAAGGCAGAAAGCCAAAGGAUAUGGUGAUAACCAUGGUAGAAGUAUCUAGCAAAACCUAAAGGUGAGAAAGUGUUUCAAGGGGAAAUAGGAAUGGUCUAACAGAGACUUUCACCAGGCUAAUUGAAUUUUUUUGGUUUAUUGACAUUGUAUAAAAUCAUGAUGUGAAUAUUCCUUCUGACAUCUUUUUCCAUGUGAGCUUAAGUUAAUCAAAAAGGUCUUAAUGAAUUUGUUUCUCUUCCUGUAAAGAUUUAAAUCAAUAACUAAUUUCAUUAAUCCCAGACCAUACACUUUGUACCUUAGUUUAACAAUUUGUGAUAUUAAUAUCAGUUUCUGCUGUGGCUAUUUUGAAGACAGUUUGGACAUUCUACCAAGGUCUGGAUCUAAACUCACCAUAUAAUUCCAAUCAAAUGACUAUUGAUUUUUCAUGGGAGGGUUCUCUUCACCAGAGGGAAAAUGUUAUGUUGCAGUUCUUGUAGACAUGCUUUUAAAGAAUUUGAAAAACAAUAAAAGAGCUAUGGAACUUCCAAAGAGUGUGUGCAUCUGAGGAGGAGAAGAGGUUGGUUUUGGUUUAGUAAAACAAAGUCACUUCCACUUGAACUACAUAUGUUGCAGUAAUUUUAAAAACUGAGCUUCGAAGGAUGGAUAGAUGGAUUUUAGCUAAAUAGAGAAAUGUGAAGGUUACAUAAAAGAGAAUUAUCCUAAGAUUGAGAAGGGAGGGUUAUUAAAAAUGAAACCUUGUGUAGUUUGAACCUUUUUUAAACUUAUGUAAACUCAGUGUAUACGCAAAAUAAUUAUAUACAUUUACCCAAAUAUUGCCAUUAAUGUCUGCAUUGGUGGCCAUCUGGAUCUAUGUUUGAGUUUAUGAAGGAAAAUCCUUUUGGUAGUGGCAUUUGAUUCGACUCUUUAUUCUUCCAUAGGGAAUUUCACUCUUUGUGGCCUUCUUCAUAAUCUUUUCUUAAUCUCAUGAUGGUAUCAGCACAUUUUGGCCUUUACAGACAUCCUUUUUGGUUCAGAUCUUGAGAUAUCCAGGCAGAUCUAGGCCCAUCUUUAUCUUCCUUUCUUUGCCUUUGUGAAAGUCCAUGAUAUUUCCCUAAACACAUUUUUAGGCCUGAAACUAUUUUCCUUUAAUGUUUUUUAAUGCAAGCUCUUGGCAUAAUGCCAAAGCAUUGUUCAGUAAAACCUAUUCUGAGCUUGGGGCAGAACAGUUCAGUUGAGGUAAGGCCUGAUACUCUGUCUCAAUCUAAGGCAGAACAAAUUUUAGAGUACAUAGAGAAAGAUUAUUAAACCAAAACCUAUGGAACACAGCAAAAGAAGUUCUGAGAGGAAAAUUUAUAGCAACACAGUCUUAUCUCAGGAAACAAAAAGAAUCUCAAAUAAACAUGCUUGCAUAAUAUCUGUUUGUACCAUUAGACCCAGUUCUCUUCCCCAUUCACAGUUAUCCAUUUCUGUAUUUCACUAUCCCAUGUACCUGAUUGGCUCUUUGUUGUUGUUGUUGUUCCUAGCUUUCUUGAAACAUAAUUGACAUAUAACGGUGUUUAAGGUGUACAACAUGAUUAUUUUAUAUACAUAUAUAAAUUGCCAAAUGCAUAUGGUUGGUCUUAAGUGAACAUUUUAGACUAAAAGAUUAAAUUAGAAAACCAAGAAAAUAGUAUUCAGUCAUGGAUUCUCAUUAUUUGUGCUGUUGUUGUAUCUUUUCACUGUGGUUUUGACAUCACAGUACCCUUUACUCCUUAAAAUGAUCCUCUGUGACCACUGUUGUUUCUAUUGUUUUUAAUAAAUGAAAAAGUGAAUUUAAAUGGUUUGGGUUUUUUUUUUUUUUUUGGUUUUUGGUUUUUUUUUCUUUUGUUUUUUGUUUGUUUGAUUGUUUUUUGCUUUUUACGGCUGCACCUGUGGCAUAUGAAAGUCCCCAGGCUAGGGGUCAGAUCAGACUUUUUCUGUAUUUUAGAAAUAGCUAGAGCAGUUGAGAUGUUCACUAGCCAGGGUUAGAAGUUAUGGUUUAGAUCCUUCUGCUGUGUUGCAGGUACCCAUUCAGUUAGAUCUUUCCGAUAAGUCAAUUGCCAAGUUUAACAUUAGUAACAAUGAGCACACAGAAGUUGUGUCUUUUGUGACAUAAUUCUUUACUAUCCUGAACACCUUGCCUUUCCCCAAACAGAAGUGAUUACUAUUUCUUCUGUGCACCAACUGAAGCUACUUCUAUUAUCCCCCUUAUCCCACUGUUUUGUAAUUCCUUAUUUAUUUGGCCUUCCAAAUAAUGAACUCUUUAAGAGUGGGUAUUAUGUGUUUGUAAUUUUCACUUUUCCCAUAGUUCCUGAGACAUUAUGGGUAUUCAGUAAAUGGCAGAUGCAGUCUAAGUAAGAUGUCUUCUGAAAAGGAUUCUGGCUAAAUGACUGUCCCAAGGAUGUUUUUCAGUAUUUGUCUUCAGAUAGUUUGGUGGUAAAAAUAUGUCAGGACUUGAUUUGUUUAAAUUAUGAAAUUUUAUGUAUUCAGCCUGUGGUUAAUUGCCUUUAAGAAUCUUCUCUGUGUGAACCACAUGUUGUUGGGAUCCUGUCCAUUUCCCUCUCUAGCCCACUGUCCUCUUCAUCUUUCCCCUGGAGUUUGUAGGAAAUAGAUGGUGACUGAGAGGUGAGUUGUUCCUCUGCCCUCAUCUUGAAGAUCUUAAAAUAAGGGAAAUUAGAUUUAUGACUGAGAAUUAAAAUUUAACAUCAACACAAACCAAAGCAAAGCUGUCCAGAAAAAUCACCUUUAAAAGACAGGCUGGACAGAAUAAGAUUUGACUAAAUAUAUUUAUCUGAGAAUAUUCAUGGGAGUGCUGUUAGUUAACAGACAACACCAGAUCCUUUAACCCACUGUGCCAGACCAGGGAUCGAAUCUGCACCUCUGUAGUAACCCAAGCCACUGAAGUUGGAUUCGUAACCCACUGUGCCACAACAGGAAUUCCCAUUUUGUUGGUUUUUACAUCAUAUAUAAAUUAUCAGCCCCUUGUCUCCAUGUCCAUUGACAGUGCCUUAAUUAAUCUCUUCACUGUUUUUCCUCUGGAUUACAAAUAGCGUCUUAAUUCAUUUCUUGGCCAUCAAACAAGCUAGAUUCUAUGCUGAUAUUGUAUCUUUCUAAAUCAUAAGUGUGAUCAUCUUAACUUACUUUUUAAAGAAUUCAAUAGCAUGACUGCAGUGUACUUCACUCCAUGCCAUUUCACAUGUUGUUUCUCACCCCUGCCUAGAAAACUCUAUGUGCCAUGUUCACUAAGCUAAAUAACAUUUAUGCUUGAAGACUCAGCUCAGGAUCUGCUCCAAGAAAUGUUAACAUACAAUCUGGGUUGGUUUUUUUUUGGGGGGGGGGUUGUUUAUAUCUUUUUUAGUGCAACACCCACAACAUAUGGAAGUUCCCAGGCUAGGGGUUGAAUCGGAGCUGCAGCUGCCAGCCUACACCAUAGCCACAGCAAUGUCAGAUCCAGGCUGAGUCUGCGACCUAUAUCACAGCUCAUGGCAACACUGAUUCUUAAUCCACUGAGUGAGGCCAGGGAUAGACCCACAUCCUCAUGGAUACUAGUCGGAUUCUUAAACCACUGAGCCACAAUGGGAACUCCUACAAUCUGGUUGAGAUGCUACACUUUUGCACUUCUACAAUACCCUAUCCUUUAUCUCUAUCAUACUACCUACCACCUUGUAUAGUAAAUUUUUUCUUGUAUGUCUCCCCUGAUGGACAGUUAAUUUCUUCAAGGCAGUGAUAAGGAUAGUGUCUGAUCCUUUUCCACAUUCCUUAGCACUAGUGUAAUAGUUGACACACUUAUUAAAUGAAUUUAAGAACCUCUCUAUAGCCUUAUUCACUUCAUUUAAAUUUCAAAUUUCUGCAGUCUCCUUUUGUAUCCCCCAGGCUAUAUUUUCUUCCUGAUCUUUGAUCAUUCAUCCCUAGCCACUUUUGUUCCCACUUUGAACUUGUCAUGCUCUCCCCUGCCUCUUCUGAGCCUUAUGGUCAACCAACCAUUGUGUGUGUGUGUGCGCCAUUAAUGAGUGGGAAUGACAGGUGUCACUAAAUUUGUGACUAUCAUUAUGGUAAGUAAUUCUUCCCAUAGAAUAAAAUGUAAUUGAAUAAAAAUAAAUUAAUUUGAAAUAAAAUGUAAUUGAAAAGGUUAGUAACCUUUGGGUCUUAAAUGAAACGUACUACAUAAAUGAUAGCAAGUCAACCAAAAAAAGAAAAAAAAAAA
rnacentral:lncRNA from 1 species